rnacentral:rRNA from 1 species
CCUACGGGAGGCAGCAGUGAGGAAUAUUGGUCAAUGGACGAGAGUCUGAACCAGCCAAGUAGCGUGAAGGAUGACUGCCCUAUGGGUUGUAAACUUCUUUUAUAUGGGAAUAAAACAGGGUAUGCAUACCCUCUUGUAUGUACCAUAUGAAUAAGGAUCGGCUAACUCCGUGCAAGCAGCCGCGGUAAUACGGAGGAUCCGAGCGUUAUCCGGAUUUAUUGGGUUUAAAGGGAGCGUAGGUGGAUUGUUAAGUCAGUUGUGAAAGUUUGCGGCUCAACCGUAAAAUUGCAGUUGAAACUGGCAGUCUUGAGUACAGUAGAGUUGGGCGGAAUUCGUGGUGUAGCGGGGAAAUGCUUAGAUAUCACGAAGAACUCCGAUUGCGAAGGCAGCUCACUGGACUGCAACUGACACUGAUGCUCGAAAGUGUGGGUAUCAAACAGGAUUAGAUACCCUGGUAGUC